AUCAACCAGGUAGCAUUCCUCGCUGACAAUUCCCGACGUGACAUGCAAGUGCCUAGACGAGAGUCGAUCAGUUGGGACAAAAAACACUAGCUACGGGCCAAGACGGGGCAUUGCCGUCGUACCCAAUGCACAUUCCGCAUCCGAGAGCUCAAGCAAGCGUUAGUGGGCCACAACAACUACAAUCGAAAUUCGAGUUUCGGGGGACACAAACACCGCUUCAAGGUUCACCGCGUCGAAAGCCAAUAACAAAACGGGCAAACACCGGGUGAAUGAUACACGAUUUGGAAACAUAAUUCCAUAUAUAGUAGGCAUGCAACACAGGAAACCAACGAUAAUUGAUGGCCAGGGCAAAGGUGCCCUUGUACCAUUAAAUGAAGAGGAACGCACGGCCGACCGUCAAUGCCACAACAUAGAUCCAACCAACCCAUACAAGA
rnacentral:misc_RNA from 1 species